CCUGGUAACUAAAUUUCCGGAGAAAAAUUUGUAGAUGUGACUUAGAUUUGUCUAUUUGAAAAGAUCCUAGCUUCUUAUCAUCUUCAUUAGAGUUGAUAAUAUGCUGGGCUCACAUGGAUUUGUUCCAUGAGAAUUCAGUAGAACCUUGAAAACUGCAUAGAUUAGAAAGAAUAAAGCAUCUCAUGGAUGCAUAAUUCUAUAUUGAUGAUUUUGCCUUAAAACUAAAUUAGAUAUAUAGGAUUCAUGUUUAAUUCUUGAGUAAUAGCCGAGCACAAUUGAUUUUGUGAUUGUAUUUAAGGUCAAGCUACAAAGGGCUC
rnacentral:misc_RNA from 1 species